ACACGACUCUCGGCAACGGAUAUCUAGGCUCUCGCAUCGAUGAAGAACGUAGCAAACUGCGAUACUUGGUGUGAAUUGCAGAAUCCCGUGAACCAUCGAGUCUUUGAACGCAAGUUGCGCCCGAAGCCAUUANGCCGAGGGCACGUCUGCCUGGGCGUCACGC
rnacentral:rRNA from 1 species